UCAGACAAGAUUUUCAUUUUGGCUUUCUGUUUCGACAGAGUUUCACUUCAACUAGAGAAAUUAUGGAAGUGCAUCAUUGCACCUAUUUUUUGUCAGCUGCACUGCUUACUUGACCGUUAAUGCAGCGCAGUUUUACUAAUGUAUUGCCAGUGACAGUUUUGCUUUCCUGCCGGGCGAUUUGAUGGUUUGAUAGUUAGUGUUUCGUUCUUUUUCUUCAGCCGUAUAUACGUAUAUUAUUUUUUGUUCAAGUGAAAUGCCAAGAUGAUUUUGAGACGUUCUCUCUCGAAAUUGGAAUCUUUGUACUUCAUUUAUCCUGAGAAAUGUUCUCCAUCAUGGCCGUAAAUGAAAAAUAUUAUUCCAUUA
rnacentral:lncRNA from 1 species